AUGGAAGAAGAUCAGGUUAAAUUAGCAACACUCAUCGCGGAGCUAGAGGAGCCAGUACAUACUUUGUGCUUGCCGGCAAUUGACCCUCCUAAUACUAAGAGAAAGAAGGGAAGGGCAAUAAAGAAUUUUUCUGAGUAGAUAGAGAAAGAGCCUCCAGUGAAUUGGUAUUUGCUGCAUGACACCCAUGGAGCUAGGUAUGGCCACAUGACAACCAAUCUUGCAGAGGUGUAUAACUUAGUGCUGAGAGGGAAUAGAGCAUUGCCACUCACAGCUAUUGUGGAGGCUGUAUUCCAUGGCACUUUGAGAUAUUUCAGAGAAAGGCACGAGUUAGCAAAGAAGCAUAUUGAAGAUAAUCAAAACACACCUUAUUGUAGCCGUGUCAUGGAAUACAUGGCAAAGAAGAUAGAGAAAGCAAAGAAGCACACUAUCAGACUCAUAGGGAAUCAAGAAAGGAGGUAUGAGGUUUAGCUUCCUACCGAUGGUUUUGGUUCUGGACAUCAGGUGAAGACACACGAGGUAAAAAUUGGAACGGAAGUUUAUCCAACGUGUGAGUGUACAUGCAAAAAACCAAAGUUGUUGCACCUACCUUGCUCUCAUGUGUUGGCUGCCUGUGGCCAGAUUGAGUUGGAUGCUAUCUCCUUCGUGUCCCCAUACUAUUUAAAAGAGGCAGUGCUCAACACAUGGACAGGUGAGAUGACGGGGUUUAGAGUCGUCGGCAAUUUUAACAAGGUAAACGACGGUGCGAGAGUAUACAUCCUGCAUCCAGACCUUCGGCGAACAAGUAGGGGCAGACGAAAGGCUCGUCGCAUCCGAAAUGAUAUGGACCAAUCUGAAGCUGGUGGAGCAACCAGACAAUGUUUGUCAUGCGCGGCUUAUGGGCAUAGGAUGAAAUAUUGUCCCGACCUGAACAAAGAUGGUGCUUCCACAUCGACGACUGCAACAACAGGAGCAAGAGGCGGACGUGGUCGUGGCAGUCGAGGCCGAAGGGGCGGACGAGGAAGAAAUAACUCAUAA
rnacentral:rRNA from 1 species